CGCGCAUACAUCUGUGCACGUCGAUGCAGCGUCUGGCUCGCACCGAUAUCUCCCUCUCUCGACAUUCCCCGUCUGCAUCGCAGUCCAAAGCAAUCGCUUAUACAGUCAACCAACGCGGUCAUUCGGAUGGUUGCCAUGGCAUCGCGCGCCCUCAUGUCCUCGCGGUCGCACCUGCUGCAGAAGUUUGACAGCUGCCGCACCAUCUUCAUGUGCUGCGACAUCCAGGAAAAACUGCGCAACCGCAUCCCCAACUUCCAGGCGGCCGUUGAAGUGUCGAACUCGAUGGCGACCAUCCACAACACCCUGACGCCCAAGCACUCCACCUUUGUGGUGACGGAGCAGUACCCGAAGGGUGUGGGCCAUGUUGCGAAGGACAUCACGUUGCCUGAGGGUGCUCCGGUGAUCGAGAAGCUGCAGCCUUCGAUGCUAGUGCCGGAAAUGAUGCCCUACAUCGACGGUGACGCUGCGCGAGGCAUCUUGCCGGUGCAGCAGGCGGUGCUGUGGGGUCACGAGACACACGUGUGCGUUCUUCAGACGGCCGAUGAGCUGCUGUCCCGCAACAUCCGCGUGGCGGUGCUUGUGGACGGCUGCGCCUCACAGCAGCAGCUUGAUCACGACGUGGCCAUCCAGGAGAUGGCGGGAUGGGAGAACCUCACGCUGACAACCACCAUCUCCGUUCUUCUGCAGCUAGCGCGUGGCGAUCGCCUGAUGAGGGGGUCCCUCAUGAAAAUCGUGAAGCCGAAGUGGGCCGACCCCUCUCGCUUCCCGAGCCUCCCCGCGGACGGCGAGAAGCCGAAGACGUGAGGGAGAGAGGGAGACGGAGGCAGACAGCGCAUAGCCAAUGCGAAGGAGGGAGGGAGGUAGGAGGGGCGCGUGACGUGGCCUUCAUGAUGUGCGGGCGUGCGCGCGUGCGAGUGUGGGGGGAGGGGAGAGAGUAAAGGGUGUGCACGCUUCUUUGAGAUACAGCGGUGCCGCGUGUAAAGGCUGGUAUGUCUGUUCACGCCGCCCUUGCCCUACCGCCCACUUCCCACCAAUGCCUCCACGUCUCUCUCUCUCUCUUCCGCUAACGGCUUCAUUGCCUGCGCGGCAGCUGUCGACUGACGUCACGGGGCCUCCCUCCGCACCAUCUGCUCGCGUCUUGCAGGUACCCCGCCCUUCGCGCCCUCUCCGGUGCGCGAAGGGGAGAGAGGGCCCUUAUUCUCGUCUUUUGCUGUUGUUGUUUUUGAACUCACGGCGUUUCCUAUUUGAAGAUGCGCGUGCGUCUUCGCCGACGCUCUGUCGCGGCGUGUCUUCGGCCUUGCGGCCUUGCAACGGCGCCCCUCCCCCUCCUCCCUACGACAAGCGCCACACGCCGUCUUGGUCGACCGCGCACACUCGUCCAGUUUUCUCUACCUAUUUUCCUGUCCCGUGAGCUCCCCCCUCUCCCUCCCCCGGUGUCCGUUGCUGUCUUGCGACUGCGUCACAGAGAG
rnacentral:misc_RNA from 1 species